rnacentral:rRNA from 1 species
AUUGAACGCUGGCGGCAUGCCUUACACAUGCAAGUCGAACGGUAACAGGUCUUCGGAUGCUGACGAGUGGCGAACGGGUGAGUAAUACAUCGGAACGUGCCCGAGAGUGGGGGAUAACGAGGCGAAAGCUUUGCUAAUACCGCAUACGAUCUCAGGAUGAAAGCAGGGGACCGCAAGGCCUUGCGAUCACGGAGCGGCCGAUGGCAGAUUAGGUAGUUGGUGGGAUAAAAGCUUACCAAGCCGACGAUCUGUAGCUGGUCUGAGAGGACGACCAGCCACACUAGGACUGAGACACGGCCCAGACUCCUACGGGAGGCAGCAGUGGGGAAUUUUGGACAAUGGGCGCAAGCCUGAUCCAGCCAUGCCGCGUGCAGGAUGAAGGCCUUCGGGUUGUAAACUGCUUUUGUACGGAACGAAAAGACUCUGGUUAAUACCUGGGGUCCAUGACGGUACCGUAAGAAUAAGCACCGGCUAACUACGUGCCAGCCGCCGCGGUAAAAC